UACGUAGGGAGCGAGCGUUGUCCGGAUUCAUUGGGCGUAAAGAGCUCGUAGGCGGCUUGGUAAGUCGGAUGUGAAACCUCCAGGCUCAACCUGGAGUCGCCAUCCGAUACUGCCAUGGCUAGAGUCCGGUAGGGGCCCACGGAACGUCCUGGUGUAGCGGUGAAAUGCGCAGAAUAUCAGGAAGACACCGGUGCGAAGGCGGAUGGGCCUGGGGCCGGAAGCUGGCGG
rnacentral:rRNA from 1 species